AAGUGUCUCAUUGCAGUGGCUGUUAAAAAUCACUGGCCAUUGUUCCAACUGGAUGUUAACAAAAGAAAUGACCAAUUAUUAGGCUCUGAAUUAGUGUAUCAUCAUAGCCUAUAUCUCAACACCCCCCCUCAAGUUGAAGGGGGGGGGGGAACCACCUUUAACUUGGACAAAAUAGGAGAAAGAGCAGUCCCGGAUAAUGCUUUCGUCAACGG
rnacentral:lncRNA from 1 species